AUUGCCGGCUAAUCGGUUUUUCUUGAUUCGUCUCCUCCGAUUAGGUGAUUUUCGCCGUCGUAGUGAUCAAUAGUCGUUUAAACCCGCCCGUCCGUGCCCGACGGCAGAUAAUACGCGGCGGUUCGCGUCCUCUUUUUGGGAAAAUCGUUAAAAUUCGGGCGUUUGCGUGGCCGCUUAGGUCCGCGUAUCGGUUCCGGCGUGGGCGACCGCGGAAAACGGCGACACUUCUUUUGCACCACGGCCCCCAGGUGAGUAAAUAAGUAGGCCCGGGUAUUGGCGUAAUUCGCCGCGGAGAAAAACGAAUUCGAAACGACCGGUAUUUGCCAACCGCACGAAAGCGAAUGCUGGCGGCUUCUGG